AGCGAACGUUUGCGGCGGGCCUAACACAUGCAAGUCGAACGGGCUCGAGGGGCAACCCUCGAGUCAGUGGCGCACGGGUGCGUAACACGUGGGUAAUCAACCCUUCAGCUCGGGACAACACCUCGAAAGGGGUGGCUAAUACCGGAUACGACGUAUGGCUUUGCGGAGUCGUACGGGAAAGGAAUUCGCAAGGAUCACUGGAGGACGAGCUCGCGGCCCAUCAGCUUGUUGGUGAGGUAAG
rnacentral:rRNA from 1 species